rnacentral:rRNA from 1 species
GCGGAAGGAUCAUUAUUGAAUGAACUUGGCGUGGUUGUAGCUGGCUCUCUGGAGAGUAUGUGCACACCCGUCAUCUUUAUCUCUCCACCUGUGCACAUCUUGUAGACUUGGAAUUUGAGAUUUUCUGAGGCAACUCAGUUGGGAGGACUUGCUGUGCGCUUUCACGAGUGYCGGCUUUCCUUGCUUGGAUCUUCAAGUCUAUGUUUUUCAUAUACCCCAUUGUAUGUAACAGAAUGUAUCAAUGAGCCUUGUGCUUAUAAACUAUAUACAACUUUCAACAACGGAUCUCUUGGCUCUCGCAUCGAUGAAGAACGCAGCGAAAUGCGAUAAGUAAUGUGAAUUGCAGAAUUCAGUGAAUCAUCGAAUCUUUGAACGCACCUUGCGCUCCUUGGUAUUCCGAGGAGCAUGCCUGUUUGAGUGUCAUUAAAUUCUCAACCUUAUUGGCUUUUGCUGAUAAUGGCUUGGAUUUGGGGGUCUUUUGCUGGCUUUCACAAGUCAGCUCCCCUUAAAUGUAUUAGCUGGUGCCUCUGGUUAACCAUCUAUUGGUGUGAUAAUUAUCUACGCUGUGGAUGUUAGCCGUCUUAUAGGUGCACUGCUUCUAACCGUCUGUUCAUUCGGACAAUCUCAUUGACAUUAUGACCUCAAA